GGAAGGUUCGCGUAAUGGUAGCGCAGCGGUCCCGAAAACCGCCGCGGGUAACCGCUUGCGGGUUCGAGCCCCGCACCUUCCGCCA
rnacentral:tRNA from 1 species